rnacentral:rRNA from 1 species
AGUGAACGCUGGCGGCAGGCCUAACACAUGCAAGUCGAGCGGCAGCGCGGGGGCAACCCUGGCGGCGAGCGGCGGACGGGUGAGGAAUUCGUCGGAAUCUGCCUUUUUGUGGGGGAUAACGUAGGGAAACUUACGCUAAUACCGCAUACGUCCUACGGGAGAAAGUGGGGGACCGCAAGGCCUCACGCAGAAAGAUGAGCCGACGACCGAUUAGCUAGUUGGUGGGGUAAAGGCCCACCAAGGCGACGAUCGGUAGCUGGUCUGAGAGGAUGAUCAGCCACACUGGGACUGAGACACGGCCCAGACUCCUACGGGAGGCAGCAGUGGGGAAUAUUGGACAAUGGGCGCAAGCCUGAUCCAGCCAUGCCGCGUGUGUGAAGAAGGCCUUCGGGUUGUAAAGCACUUUUGUCCGGAAAGAAAUCCCUGGAGCUAAUACCUUCGGGGGAUGACGGUACCGGAAGAAUAAGCGCCGGCUAACUUCGUG